UACGUAGGGUGCAAGCGUUUGUCCGGAAUUAUUGGGCGUAAAGAGCUUGUAGGCGGUUUGUCGCGUCUGCUGUGAAAUUUCGGGGCUCAACCCCGAACUUGCAGUGGGUACGGGCAGACUAGAGUGUGGUAGGGGAGACUGGAAUUCCUGGUGUAGCGGUGAAAUGCGCAGAUAUCAGGAGGAACACCGGCGGCGAAGGCGGGUCUCUGGGCCAUAACUGACGCUGAGGAGCGAAAGCGUGGGGAGCGAACAGG
rnacentral:rRNA from 1 species